GACAGAGGGUGCAAACGUUGUUCGGAUUUACUGGGCGUAAAGGGCGCGCAGGCGGUCAUUUUUGUCGAGUGUGAAAGCCCCGGGCUUAACCUGGGAACUGCGCUCGAAACGGGAUGACUAGAGAUCGGGAGAGGAGAGUGGAAUUCCAGGUGUAGCGGUGAAAUGCGUAGAUAUCUGGAGGAACACCGGUGGCGAAGGCGGCAUCCUGGACCAAUUCUGACGCUGAGGAGCGAAAGCCAGGGGAGCAAACGGG
rnacentral:rRNA from 1 species